rnacentral:rRNA from 1 species
CCUACGGGGGGCUGCAGUCGAGGAUCUUCGGCAAUGGGCGCAAGCCUGACCGAGCGACGCCGCGUGGAGGAGGAAGGCCCUCGGGUUGUAAACUCCUGUCGAGGGGAAGAAAAGCCUUAAGGCCUGAUCGACCCCUGGAGGAAGCACGGGCUAAGUUCGUGCCAGCAGCCGCGGUAAGACGAACCGUGCGAACGUUGUUCGGAUUCACUGGGCGUAAAGGGCGCGUAGGCGGGUCGGCGAGUCAGGGGUGAAAGCCUCCAGCCCAACUGGAGAACGGCCCUUGAGACCGCCGGCCUCGAGGGGGGUAGGGGCACGCGGAACUUCCGGUGGAGCGGUGAAAUGCGUAGAGAUCGGAAGGAACGCCGGUGGCGAAAGCGGCGUGCUGGGCCCCUUCUGACGCUGAGGCGCGAAAGCCAGGGGAGCAAACGGGAUUAGAUACC